AAGUCGUAACAAGGUAACCGUAGGUGAACCUGCGGUUGGAUCAUUACAAAGUUGAAGUGCUGGGAGCAAUCUCACGCACCUUAACCCCUUGUGCAAUCGUUUCUGUUUCUGGGUGUUCUAGGACACCCAAACGUUAAACCCAGUUUUUAUAGUUUUUUAUUUUAUAAAUUUAAAACAACUUUUGACAACGGAUCUCUUGGCUCUC
rnacentral:misc_RNA from 1 species